CGCGCCCCCGCCGCCUCUUCGAUUCCCAAUCCCCACUUUCCCGUCUCCUCCACGGACCCCCCGAAAAUCCCAAAUUGCCGGCGGAACCCUAGCUCCGGUGCUACUGCCAGAUCAGGACACCUCCUCCGGCAGAAUCGGCAGCGGCUCCUUCCCGGCGCCACACCUCGGAGGCCUGCGCUGCUCGGCGCUUCCUCCCCCCUCGCGUCCUUCCUCCGGCUUUCAGGAUUUGCGCCGCUCGGGUCCGAGGGCUCUGGAGCGUCCUCUUACCUUUGUGCACAUGUCUUAUCCGUUCAUGUGCAAAGCAGGAUGAUGACGCCAUCAACGGGUGCCAGACACGGAAUCUUCCACCCUCCUUUGCCAGUGUUGUGUCAUGCUCGCCCAUGCCAUCAACUUGUGCCAGACACAGACUCCACAUCAGCUUGUGCCAGACACGGACCACCCUCCUUUGCCACAUAAUAGUCAUCGAGCGCUCUAUGGAAGCAUCCAAUCUCGCUGUUCUACCAACUUCACCGGAACACCGACCACCGGUGCUCCACCUCAGAUAGAUCCGCUUAUGGAUUUAAGUUUUCAUUCACCAACUUCAAAUACUCAAUUACCCGGAGAUGAGGAUCAUUCUGCAGCUCAUGUCCUUAUCAAACGUGCUUCUCCUUUAAACGAUAGCUUGGUCUCCGUGCAUGCUAUCCGAUUAUCCGAAGCAAAACUAAUCCUUUGCACCCCAGCGAUGGAUAAAGACGUGGAGCCGGGUCUGUUUUCCUGGGGACAACCAAUCCUUGAGGAGGCCGAAAGAUUUGAGGGGUAAGUUAAUUUGUUAAGCAUCUGAGCAAACAAAGUUCUUAUUUUCUAAUGCCAAUUUACAAGACGUGGUUGUAAUUUCAGUUUUUUAGCUUCAUCCUGAAGUCGUACAUACAUGUAUAAGCCUUCAAGCAUGGCAAAAAUUUGAUGUGUCAGUGAAAUUUCGGUUCAGUUUGCCAUAAACAAUUAAUUCUACAAGUUUCCUAAUAUAAAGUUGCACUACAUAGUUUGAUUCUGUUAUCGAUUCGAUUUUAGUUUAUUCUUCCUGAAGUUUACGUGCGAGUUUCUGCCAUAUUUUCACAGCGGGGAGAAGCCUUGAGAGUAUACAUGACUUAUUUGUGAAUCUGGACGUUACGACUGGUCAUAUCCAGUAUAGUUGUUGAACAAAUAUUCUAAGCAUCCCACUGGCAAAGCAUCCUAGCUGCAUUUUUCGUUCAUCAUUAUGAAUAGAGCAGUAUAGCUGGGCUAACUGAGGUGAGCCGAAUUUCGUUAACAUUAACAAUUACCCAAGAAGAAGCAACAGCUUAGCCCUUCUCAGCUAACUUUACCUUUGGUUCUCCAUCAGUUAAAUGGUAUGAUUACAAAAUUUACAACACUAAUUACAAUCUGUUCAAUUAGUUCAUGUGCCAAUGCUCCAUUCUGUUUUUCAUAUCGCAAAUGUGUAAGUCAUAUCUCUGCCUAUACGUGAUACAUAUGUACUUUCAGAAGUCGCACACAACGUGUGAUCAUUUCCACCGUCCAAAUGAAUUGUUAUAUUCAAUAAAUUUGAGGCUGCCUUGAAGCCUCCACCAAGAGUAAAAAGGUAAAAAGUCCCACAUUACUUCAGAGGUUCAUAGACCUUCAGUCAACAUGCAUAUUUGUCUACUGUUAUUUAGCUCCGAGGUAGAUUUCCAUUUCUUGGAGGUUCGAAUGAAUCAGACAUUUCAAUUAUCAUCUUAUUUUAUAUUGUGGUGCAGUAUAUAACUCUAGAUGAUGACAACAGUAAAAAUAAUUUGUUUGUGUUGUUGAAGAUCAGCUUGAUUUUUUGACAGGCGCAAUUUUGGACUUAAUCGGCAGAAGCAAUUGUAUUGACCUGCUACUUGAUUACUUAAUUAACUAGGUUCAGAUAGGUGAAUUUCUUGUUUACCAAUAAGGACAAUUCAUGUUUUUAUGUAUGUACCAAGCUGGGAUUGCUAUAUAUUAUUUGUGUUGUCCAACAUACUACACAUUUCUUCAACCUUGCUUUGCGAGAGGUAUCAUUUACUUAUUGAUAUGUUUGAAAAGUUUUUUUCUGUAGUUGUUUCCGGCAUAAUCUUCUACAAGUGAAAUCAUAUUGUUCUGUUAAUUAAUAUUUUCGUUUGAUUAUGAGGAUUGAGGCGUGAUUUUCAUGAUCCAGGACUCCAAUUUGAUGUUUGUGUUGAUCCGUCCUCUUAUUUCUACCUAGGUAAGCUAGAUGACUGCUAGCACUAAAUUUACAUUAGAUCAUUUUUUCUUAUGUCGACAUAUAUAGCUAAUCUCAGUUGCCCUAUGUUUUUUUGCUGCCAUGGUAGGCCAAAUUUUAAUUUUAGGUUGUAUUGUGCUAUGGUUUUCAUUGUCCUCAGCUAAUGGGGUGGUUUGCAAUAGUGGCAUGUUCAGUUUCCACCAUAUAACUAAACUAUAUUAAUAUACAUCGGAAUGAAUUUACCACUGUUUCAUUACCAGCUCUUUCUCUGUGUAUCAACUCUAUUGGAUCCUACCAAAUCUUUGUAAAUCAGGCAAUCGAACAUGAAAGGAUAAACUUCAGGAUUUACCGAGGGAGAGAGUACCAUCCAAAUUUUGUUGCCACGAUAGGCCAAAUUGUAUUGUACUACAGAUUUUCAUCUUCCUGUUCAUUGUCCACUGUAUAACUGAAGUAUAUUCAUGUAUAGCCGUGUAAUUUUACAACUGUUUGUUACUAGCUCUUUAUAUGUUCACUCUAUCGGAUUCCUCAAGAUCUAUGUAAAUCAAGGAAUCCAGUAUGAAACAGUAAAAUUCAUGAUUGACCAAGGGAAAAGAGUGGUGUACGAUAACGAGGCAUGUGCAGAAACAACAAAGAACCAAGGUAGCACACACUUGCACUUUGGAUUUGAAUUUUCAAUGGUUCGACAUGUACUACCAU